UACGGAGGGGGCGAGCGUUAUUCGGAAUUAUUGGGCGUAAAGGGCGCGUAGGCGGCUGUACAAGUCAAGGGUGAAAUCCCUCGGCUCAACUGAGGAACUGCCUUUGAAACUGUACGGCUUGAGGCCGGGAGGGGGUAGCGGAAUUCCCAGUGUAGCGGUGAAAUGCGCAGAUAUCAGGAGGAACACCGGUGGCGAAGGCGGGUCUCUGGGCAACAACUGACGCUGAGGAGCGAAAGCGUGGGGAGCGAACAGG
rnacentral:rRNA from 1 species